GACGAACGCUGGCGGCGUGCUUAACACAUGCAAGUCGAACGGAAAGGCCCUGCUUUUGUGGGGUGCUCGAGUGGCGAACGGGUGAGUAACACGUGAGUAACCUGCCCUUGACUUUGGGAUAACUUCAGGAAACUGGGGCUAAUACCGGAUAGGAGCUCCUGCUGCAUGGUGGGGGUUGGAAAGUUUCGGCGGUUGGGGAUGGACUCGCGGCUUAUCAGCUUGUUGGUGGGGUAGUGGCUUACCAAGGCUUUGACGGGUAGCCGGCCUGAGAGGGUGACCGGCCACAUUGGGACUGAGAUACGGCCCAGACUCCUACGGGAGGCAGCAGUGGGGAAUAUUGCACAGUGGGCGGAAGCCUGAUGCAGCAACGCCGCGUGCGGGAUGACGGCCUUCGGGUUGUAAACCGCUUUCGCCUGUGACGGAGCGUGAGUGACGGUAAUGGGUAAAGAAGCACCGGCUAACUACGUG
rnacentral:rRNA from 1 species